AGAGUUAGAUCCUGGCUCAGGACGAACGCUGGCGGCGUGCCUAACACAUGCAAGUCGAGCGAUGAAGUUCCUUCGGGAAAUGGAUUAGCGGCGGACGGGUGAGUAACACGUGGGUAACCUGCCUUAUAGUGGGGGAUAGCCUUUCGAAAGGAAGAUUAAUACCGCAUAAGAUUGUAGUAUCGCAUGAUAUAGCAAUUAAAGGAGCAAUCCGCUAUAAGAUGGACCCGCGUCGCAUUAGCUAGUUGGUGAGGUAAUGGCUCACCAAGGCGACGAUGCGUAGCCGACCUGAGAGGGUGAUCGGCCACAUUGGGACUGAGACACGGCCCAGACUCCUACGGGAGGCAGCAGUGGGGAAUAUUGCACAAUGGGGGAAACCCUGAUGCAGCAACGCCGCGUGAGUGAUGAAGGUUUUCGGAUCGUAAAGCUCUGUCUUUGGGGAAGAUAAUGACGGUACCCAAGGAGGAAGCCACGGCUAACUACGUGCCAGCAGCCGCGGUAAUACGUAGGUGGCGAGCGUUAUCCGGAUUUACUGGGCGUAAAGGGAGCGUAGGCGGAUGAUUAAGUGGGAUGUGAAAUACCCGGGCUCAACUUGGGUGCUGCAUUCCAAACUGGUUAUCUAGAGUGCAGGAGAGGAGAGGAGAAUUCCUAGUGUAGCGGUGAAAUGGCGUAGAGAUUAGGACGAUACCAGU
rnacentral:rRNA from 1 species